UAGCAGCACAUAAUGGUUUGUGGAAUAUAAGAAGAUGCAGGCCAUAUUGUGCUGCCUCA
rnacentral:pre_miRNA from 1 species